GAUGAACGCUGGCGGCGUGCCCAAUACAUGCAAGUCGAACGCUGGAGAUCUAGCUUGCUAGAUCGAAGGAGUGGCGAACGGGUGAGUAAUACAUAAGCAACCUACCCACGAAGACUGAGAUAAUCUCUGGAAACGGGGACUAAUACCGGAUAGGUAAUCGGAAGGCAUCUUCUGGUUAUUAAAGGUUAAAAACACUGGUGGAUGGGCUUAUGGCGCAUUAGUUAGUUGGUGAGGUAACGGCCCACCAAGACGAUGAUGCGUAGCCGGCCUGAGAGGGUGAACGGCCACAUUGGGACUGAGACACGGCCCAGACUCCUACGGGAGGCAGCAGUAGGGAAUUUUCGGCAAUGGGGGCAACCCUGACCGAGCAACGCCGCGUGAGUGAAGACGGCCUUCGGGUUGUAAAGCUCUGUUGUAAGGGAAGAACGGUAGAUAGAGAAUAUCUAAGUGACGGUACCUGACCAGAAAGCCACGGCUAACUACGUG
rnacentral:rRNA from 1 species